rnacentral:rRNA from 1 species
UACAGAGGUCCCGAGCGUUGUUCGGAUUCACUGGGCGUAAAGGGUGCGUAGGUGGUUGGGCAAGUCUGAUGUGAAAUCUCCGGGCUUAACCCGGAAAUGGCAUUGGAAACUGCUUGGCUAGAGUGUUGGAGGGGGGACUGGAAUUCUCGGUGUAGCAGUGAAAUGCGUAGAUAUCGAGAGGAACACCAGUGGCGAAGGCGAGUCCCUGGACAACGACUGACACUGAGGCACGAAGGCCAGGGGAGCAAACGGG